CCGUCGCACCUACCGAUUGAAUGUUUCGGUGAAGAUUCCGGACUGUGGCUCGCGUGCUUCACGGCGCUCCUGCCGUGGGAAGUUAUCUAAACCUCAACAUUUAGAGGAAGGUGAAGUCGUAACAAGGUUUCCGUAGGUGAACCUGCGGAAGGAUCAUUA
rnacentral:rRNA from 20 species